AAAAAAAAAAAAAAAAGACCAAGAAGAAUGCAAAACAGCCUCUGACAGAAGUUGCGAAGGAGGUUUACCAGUUCCUGCCCCUGUGCGGCUGGACGGACAGAUGGACAGACGGAUGGAGCCGGUGCCCCUGGGGAACACCAUUACUGGCAGAAACUUCAACCCCAUCUAUCAAAUCUUGGACCAGAGCUGCUUAUAAGAG